AGUUCCCUUCGUAUUGCCCUCUCCUUUUUAAAAAUUACAUGUGUGCACAGAGAGACCACCUUUUUUAGGACUAUGCAUUUUCAGGCUUGUAGCAAUAAGUAAGAUCGACCAAGGCAAGUGUUUGUAAAGACUUCCCAAUUGGCCCUAAAGUUCUAGCAUGUGAUUGCUUCACUCCUGGACUGUGACUUUCACUGGGAGAUGUAAGCUUUUCAGAGAACUGAACUGUGGAAAAAUGACCUUUCCUUAACUUGAAGAUAGCUUUAAAAUUAGAGUCUAGACCAAAAGAAGAGGAAUAGCAUAUUGGAGUCAAGAUGACAGAUAAGGUGAGAGUAAUGACUAACUCCAAAGAUGGCUUCACUGAAAAGAAUGCAUUUUAAGAUCUAAAAAAUAAAAAUCUUGUCAGAAGAUUCCAUCAUCCUGAAUCAUAAAUCAGACAAUGUGACUCUCUUCCUGUCCUCAAGAUCCUUCAACAUAGCCAUUGGAGGAGUAUGAUUAUUUUUUAGUUAUUGAAGGAUUGUAAGGUAAAAUAAAAGAUGAAUGGAUGAAAAUGGCUAGAAUUUUAACAUUGAAUAAUAAAAUCCAAACUCGUUUGACAGUAUACAAAGACAUUUUUGAGCUCUUUGUCAACUUUCCCAAUUAUAUCUCUCCACUUAGUCUUCAUAUUCUAUGCCCCAGCCAGACUGAAAUAUUUGCAAUUCCAAGAAAGUUCCACAUGCCAUCUUUGCCCCGUGCUGCUGCUCAGAGAAGCGAAAGAAGAGAAAGAAAAUUUCAAAGUUUCUGCAAUUCUUCAGUGCCACUGAAAUGUGAGAUGGGAGUUGGUGGCUCAUGCUAAGCAGACACCGAAGAGUCCAUGGACAGGAGAGCACGAAGAAGAAAGAUGAAGGUUCUGCCUAUCACACGAGGACAGGGAUCCCUCUCUUCAGCAAAGUGUCCCACAACUUGGGUAGCACCUGGUCAUCUUUCAUGCUUUGUCUCAUCCCUUACUUUCCAAAAUCCUCUUCAGCUUCUCUCUUCUGUGUUAAUAGGGUGGAGACGUGGACAAUGUAGAAAAGGAUGUGUAUCAAGGGAGGGGGCAAAUAAUGGGCUGUGUGAAACCCCUCCAUCAUCUCAAGCUUUCAGCAAAGUCUACCACACAAGCAAAUGUCUUGUGUGAGUGAAGUUCUCAGGGGUAAAGAGACUGUGUUUCACAUCUUGGACAAUAUGGUGCAGAAACAGCAUUUGAGGAACAGCAUAUGCAGCAAGAAAUGUUAAGGGGCAUGUAAAUAUCAUACCAAUCACCACUUAUUCCCUCCCUCCAUCCUCCCUCUCAAAAGUACUUUUGGAAAGAUUGGGAGGGAUUCAAGGCUACUACAGCUUACAGGUUAGGGUUGAAAUAAAUCUCAUUUUAAUCUCAAUAAGCAGGACAACUCAAUCUACAUGUAGCCUACAGUUUUUAUUUAGAUCUAGUUCUCUUAGGCUUUGUAUUCCUAGAAGGCAGAGAUUUGGGGAUAAUUUGCCUCUGAUUCCCCAUGCUUUGCUUACUAAAAUGUAUAUACAUGCUAAAUGAUGUUGUAGUUGCUAGAAGGAAGGAAGGAAGGAAGGAAGAAGGGAAGGAAGAGGAAGGAAGGAAGGAAGGAUUUUAUAGAUUCUUUAAAUAACUAGACAGAGAGUUUUUACUCCAAAGAGCAAUUUUGAGCUCCAAGAUACUAAUUUAUAAAAGAUAAAAAUAAGCGUGAAAAAAGUUUUCUAUAAGUUACCGAUGACAAAUUUUAAUUUUUAAUUAUACCAGGGGAAAGAAAUGUCAGAGGCUCUUUUUAGUUAGGCAAGUUACCAAAGACAUAGGUUAUGAAUAAAUAUUAAUUGGUCUAGAGCUAAAAUAAAUUAGGUUAAGAUAAUUCUAAAAAUGUUUAUGUUAACAAAGACUCCAAACUAAAGCCCAUCAUGUUUAUGCAACAUUUAUGCAAAUAUUUACAGCCUUUUCAAUAGAUAGUUUACUCCUGUGAUAUUGGAGUUUGUAAAAUAAUAUUUUGCAUGCAAAUUAUUUUAUAGUUGGUUUAUAUAAACAGAUUGGGGUUGGCUUGGUAUAGCACUUGGGCUUAUCUGUAGAGCAGCUAUUAGAGCUAUAUACGGUUUUUGCUAUCAUCCAAGAACGUUACCUUCAAUUAGUGAACGAUAUGACCCCAGUGGGAUGCCAUCUACUCAGGAGCAUUGUAAAGCACUUUUAGAUUUGACAAUGGCCCCAUAGAACUCACUCAAUAGGAUGGGCUGUACUUUAAACUCAUAAAGCUCAAGGAAGAGAACACAGCUUCCUUGCGUUGAAUCAAUGGAGACAGCAGGUGCCAAAAGAAAUUCAAGACUCAAUGUACACAUGAAAUUUUUAAUAGCAUUACUUUCUAUAAGGACAAUAAUGCUAAAGAAUGAGUCAAGGCGGCCGGACGCGGUGGCUCACGCCUGUAAUCCCAGCACUUUGGGAGGCUGAGGCGGGCGGAUCACGAGGUCAGGAGAUCGAGACCAUCCUGGCUAACACGGUGAAACCCCG
ensembl:lncRNA novel transcript